UCGCCAGUAAUAGCGGUUGUGUGUGUGUGUGUGUGUGCUCCGCACGUAUGACGUCAAAAUGUCCAACGUGGAUGGCACAUCGAGAAGUUUUCACCUAUUCUCUUCUUGCAAAUAAAUUAAUGACAAACUGCUCCUAUACGUAAACCAUGAUUUUGGAAGAGAAUGGCGGAAGAGGGGGUUGUCCAACACCACUUUGGAACGGAAUACCUGAGUGCUUCAAAUGUUUCCACUUCCAUUGCUUCUGAUGGAAUUUUUAUGGAUUCAAUUCGUCGAUUACCAACGCGAUGUACUUCACGGGAAAAGACAUGUCACUCGUUGGAGCCGCUACUAGAGCAGCCAGGUGAAGCCACGUUCCCACUUCGCGUUCCAUGCAUAUUGUAGAUGAAACUUUCCGGAAAAGAUGGAGUUUGAGGUAUUGGCCUGCAAGAUCUUCGUCACUAUUUCUUAUAAAAAGAUGAAAAGAUGCUUUGUCCAACACCACUUUGGAACAGAAUAUCCGGGUGCGACAAAUAUUUCAACUUCCAUUGCUCCUGAUGGAAUGUUUAUGGAUUCAUUUCUUCGAUUACCAACGCGAUGCUGCCCGAGAUGUCGAUACUUCACGGGAAAAGACCGGUCUCAAGCAGUACCUACCUCCAUCGCUAGCUAACGACGACACUUUUCCGUUGCGAAGACCGAAGGAACUAGUCACCUCUGCAGUUGUCAACAAAGACCAACAUUCUUAGGGAUUGAGUACUAUUCACCAUCACCACUUCGAAUUCGGCGCUGUCACCAUCAUCAUUCCGGUCCAUCCCUCAUCGAGGUCUAAGGUAGCUACUAGUAGUCAAUCAAAGGGCCUAUGGUGUUUCACUACUAGUAGCUUCAAUUGAGAACAAAAUAUACGUAUCAAGUUAUUUAUUUUUUGUUAUCACUGUUACAAGAACAUUUUGUAAUACAAAAAAAUCUCUAGAAUAGAAUAAUAUUGUACUGCCCUCACUGCUCUUUUGCUGGCAGCUGGCAUUAGUUCAUCACACGACAUAGCCUCACCCAGCAAAAAAACAAUUAAAACUGUGAAAGCAAACGGAAUUUUUUUAAUUAAAAAGAGAAUCUAUAUUUAAACUUGAUUAAAAAUUUCCCAAAUGUAAC